rnacentral:tRNA from 1 species
GGCUUUAUAGUCAUUAAUGAUAUUAGACUGCAAUUCUAAAGGAGUGUAUCUUACACUAAGGCUU